GCACCCGCACAAGCGGUGGAGCAUGCUGUUUAAUUCGAAGCUACGCGAAGAACCUUACCUGGGCUUGACAUCCUAAUGACCGUCUUAGAAAUAAGACUUUCCCUUCGGGGACAUUGGUGACAGGUGGUGCAUGGUUGUCGUCAGCUCGUGUCGUGAGAUGUUCGGUUAAGUCCGAUAACGAGCGCAACCCUUAUCCUUAAUUGCUAACAUUUAGUUGAGAACCUUAGGGAGACUGCCGGUGAUAAACCGGAGGAAGGUGGGGAUGACGUCAAAUCAUCAUGCCCCUUACGUCCAGGGCUACAGGCGUGCUACAAUGGCCGAUAUAAUGAGUCGCAAUACCGUGAGGUGGAGCUAAUCUAGAAAGUCGGUCCCAGUUCGGAUUGGAGUCUGCAACUCGACUCCAUGAAGUUGGAAUCGCUAGUAAUCCCGAAUCAGAAUGUCGGGGUGAAUACGUUCCCGGGUGUU
rnacentral:rRNA from 1 species